rnacentral:rRNA from 1 species
UGGCGGACGGGUGAGUAACGCGUGGGUAACCUGCCUCAUACAGGGGGAUAACAGUUAGAAAUGACUGCUAAUACCGCAUAAGACCACAGCACCGCAUGGUGUAGGGGUAAAAACUCCGGUGGUAUGAGAUGGACCCGCGUCUGAUUAGGUAGUUGGUGGGGUAACGGCCUACCAAGCCGACGAUCAGUAGCCGACCUGAGAGGGUGACCGGCCACAUUGGACUGAGACACGGCCCAA